rnacentral:lncRNA from 1 species
GGCAGAAUCAAUUUUUCUUACACAUUUCUCUAAUUCUCAAGAACACAAUAAUAUGAAUACAUAACCAUCCCAACUAGUGCAACCAUAUUCCACAAAUGUUGCUCCAGCGAAAUGGAUCACAGAGUAAGACAUAGCCGAAUGCUGCACAAAUUCUAAAGUUUCCAGAAAUCGAAUUUCGCAAAUUGAAUUUUUGCCCAACGUUCAUAAUCAUAAUCUUCCAUUCACACCACUAUAUUCCCUAAAUUACCAAACAACACCAGCUUCUGGAAACAACUAAAAUACGAAAUGAAUUUUGGCUUACCUGAUGGUAAAAGAUAUCAGAUACUGGGUGGACACUAUUCCACAGACUAAAAAUGGGGAAGAGAUGGUUAUGACGUCUCGAUUCCAUAAAAUAGGGAAGCAAGACAGGCUGUCGGAUGUGGUUGUUGCUGUGGCGAUUCGUCGAUCGGGCUGCCGGAGGUGUUCUUCACAGAGGCGACUCGUCGGUCGGUCGGCCGGAGCUGGAUUUCGGUCGGGCAAAGUUGCAGGCGAUUUUUAGGGUUCCAAAUGGUGAGAGAAUUUUUGUUUCCUUUGUUGUUGUUUCCUUUCGUUAUUGGGGAAAAUUCGUUCUUCAAGGCAAAGACACGUCAUUCUGUGAAGGUUCUAUGAAAGAACAAUUCUGUACUUCUAGCAGAUCGCACAUAUAAAUAACUCCUGGCUAUGCUCUCACGUAAUGAAU